AGAGUUUGAUCCUGGCUCAGGACGAACGCUGGCGGCGUGCUUAACACAUGCAAGUUGAACGGAGGUUUUGUUUUCGGAUAAAGCCUUAGUAGCGGACGGGUGAGUAACGCGUGAGCAACCUGCCUUUGUGAGGGGGACAACAGCUGGAAACGGCUGCUAAUACCGCAUGAGACCACGAUCCCGCAUGGGGAUGGGGUAAAAGAGGAAACUCGCACAGAGAUGGGCUCGCGUCCCAUUAGCUAGUUGGUGAGGUAACGGCUCACCAAGGCGACGAUGGGUAGCCGACCUGAGAGGGUGAUCGGCCACACUGGAACUGAGACACGGUCCAGACUCCUACGGGAGGCAGCAGUGGGGAAUAUUGGGCAAUGGGCGAAAGCCUGACCCAGCAACGCCGCGUGAGGGAAGAAGGUCUUCGGAUUGUAAACCUCUGUCCUUGGGGACGAAGGAAGUGACGGUACCCGAGGAGGAAGCUCCGGCUAACUACGUGCCAGCAGCCGCGGUAAUACGUAGGGAGCGAGCGUUGUCCGGAAUUACUGGGCGUAAAGGGUGCGUAGGCGGCGUGGCAAGUCAGAUGUGAAAUCCCCGGGCUUAACUCGGGAGUUGCAUUUGAAACUGCCAUGCUUGAGUGCAGGAGAGGAAAGCGGAAUUCCUAGUGUAGCGGUGAAAUGCGUAGAUAUUAGGAGGAACACCAGUGGCGAAGGCGGCUUUCUGGACUGUAACUGACGCUGAGGCACGAAAGCGUGGGGAGCAAACAGGAUUAGAUACCCUGGUAGUCCACGCUGUAAACGAUGGAUACUAGGUGUGGGGGAGAUACAACCUCCGUGCCGCAGCAAACGCAAUAAGUAUCCCGCCUGGGGAGUACGGUCGCAAGGCUGAAACUCAAAUGAAUUGACGG
rnacentral:rRNA from 1 species